GACGAACGCUGGCGGCGUGCUUAACACAUGCAAGUCGAACGCUGAAGCUCAGCUUUUGUUGGGUGGAUGAGUGGCGAACGGGUGAGUAACACGUGAGUAACCUGCCCCCUUCUUUGGGAUAACGCCCGGAAACGGGUGCUAAUACUGGAUAUUCACUGGUCUUCGCAUGGGGGUUGGUGGAAAGGGUUUUUCUGGUGGGGGAUGGGCUCGCGGCCUAUCAGCUUGUUGGUGGGGUGAUGGCCUACCAAGGCUUUGACGGGUAGCCGGCCUGAGAGGGUGACCGGUAACAUUGGGACUGAGAUACGGCCCAGACUCCUACGGGAGGCAGCAGUGGGGAAUAUUGCACAAUGGGCGCAAGCCUGAUGCAGCGACGCCGCGUGAGGGAUGGAGGCCUUCGGGUUGUGAACCCCUUUCGCUCAUGGUCAAGCCGCAACAAUGGUUGUGGUGAGGGUAGUGGGUAAAGAAGCGCCGGCUAACUACGUG
rnacentral:rRNA from 1 species